ensembl:piRNA 21ur-15147 ncRNA
UCAAAAUCUGAUCAAGUGCUA